ACGUUUGUUUCAUUAAACAUUGCCCCUUGUUACUGUUGGUAAGCCCAUCAAGGCACUUUGUCUAGUUAUAUGUACAUACAGUAUCUACCUCAAUUACCUUGAAUGCGUUUCACUGUUAGUCCACACCUGUUGCUUACAAAGCAUGUGACAAGUAACAUUUGACUUUAUUUGAUUGCUCUUUGCUCACAGCUCUUUGUUUGUUGGCAAGGUUAAGGACAUACAACACAAACAUUGCUUUCAACUUACAUAUUUGACAAGCAUGUCAAUGUAUACAUUCAUUAUUAUGUCCUCACCUAGGAUUUUGAACUCACAACCUCUUGGUUCACAGUAUUCCGAUCUACAACCCCAUGUCUGUGUCAGUAACUGAUUUCACUUGUAUUGCUACACUUUGUACUUUGAAGUACACCCAAGAAAAACUAUUUUAUUUAUCAUAGUGAUCAAGGAGUAACAUUAAAAUAGAGUAAUAAGCCCCACCAACUAGAUAUAUACACUGCCGGUCAAAAGUUUGGACACUGUGAUAAUGUUGCGUCUAAGUGGUAGGUGUAGGAGUCAGGCGCAGGAGAGCAGGGAUGUCUGAGAAGCGUGUUUUAAUAGGAGAGUCCACCAACACAGGAAUGGCACAAUCGAAAAAGUACAACGCCCUCGACCACAGAGAACCCGUACAAACGCACGGAGAAACAAACACAGUUCUGACAAUAUUAUACUUAAGGAUCCGUGAAAACAAAUAACGGCAUAACCUCACCAAGCACAUCACAAUGAAAGACCAAUCCCGCACAAAUUUAGGCAGGCAAACAGGGUACAUAUAUACAACACAGAAAUUAACACAAAUGAAACCAGGGGCCUGUUGCACAAAAGUAGAAUUAAGACAUCCGGGAUAAAUGACUCAGCUGAGCUCAAUGAAGCCAAAACAUGUGCGUCCAGGCUUAAUUGGUUGCACAAAGACCAAGCCAGGAUGAGCAGACACGGAUUCAUUAAGCCAGGUGAAACCAAUCCUGGAUAGGUGCGCGCUCACGGCUCACUCAAAUAGACCCCGCCACAGAUCACAGAUUAACUGAUUUACCAUGGCAACUAGAGCCGCGUACUUUUCCCCGUCGGAAGCACAAAUCCUCAUGGAGGCAUACGAGGAGGUAAAAGAUAUAAUUAAGAAGAAAGGCAACACCGCCACAGUGAUAAAGCAAAGAGAAAAAGCGUGGCAAAGUAUUGCAGACCGCCUGAAUGCGUAAGUAGUGCACAAUUACACACUCACCGCUCCGCUGAAACAUCACAAUUACAAUUCAAAUAUUUAAUUCACAUCUCCAAAAAUGCAGUUGUACUGUAAUUAUGAAACGGUUAAAUUUUUAAUUGAAAUGCACUGCAGAUAUGAGUGAAAUUGUGUAAAGUAACUCCAUCACACUGUAUAAAGCUAUGAUACAUUUUUUGAUAUUUUUACUGAAAACAAGACAAAAAUACCAAGUAAUUUUUUGCAGUGUGACUCCAUUAAAUGUGUGUGUGUGUGUGUGUGUGUGUGUGUGUGUGUGUGUGUGUAGAUUAAACAUGAACGGGCCAAAACGGACAUGGCAGCAGGUCAAAAUCAAAUACAAGAACAUUCUGCAGAAUGCAGUGAAAAAGAAUACCCACAGACAAGGCACGGGUGGUGGGUCACCAAAGGCUGACCUUACCCCAGCAGAGGACAUGGCCUUGGAGCUAAAUAAAGGCAGGCCCGUCUUAGAGGGGAUCCCUGGGGGGAAAGAGACGAGCAUAGGUUCCUCCCAAGAUGCCACCCGCUUCAUUCAAGUGCCUGGCAGCACUGUGUUCCUGUUAGAGCCACCAGCACAAGCACCAGACGAUGCUGAUCCAGGUGAAGGCCCCAGUGCAGCAGCAACAGCACAUGAUGGAGACGAUGAUGAGGAGGAGACCAUCUCUCUGGAUUCCAGAAGGCAUGAGGACCCAGAUGCUAUACAGUGGGAAAACCACCCUGGCAACAUAGUGCGUAUUAAUAAAAGGACACCACAUCCUGCCAAAUUCCAGCUGCGCUAAUUGUAUUGUGUUCACAGAGCUCACAAGCUAUCAGAAAGUUGUAUGGCAACCACCUCCGGCGCCAAAUAGAACUGGCAGACAUAGACAUUCAGUACAAGAAGAAAAAGAUGGAAAAUCUUGCACUGGAGUCCGAAAUAAAAAAGAGGACAAUUAGGAAACUGGACCUUGAAAUAAAAAAACUUGAGAGGGAGCUCCAAGAAGAUGACACAGCUCAAAAUAAAAAUUAGGUAUAUUCUCAUAAAGUCAAGUGAGCCAUGACAUAUGAGCUCUUAUUGUGAGCACACAGGACGGUGGCAUCUUUCUAAGGUUUUUUUUAUUUUCCCAGCAAUCAGUACAACCAAGUCAUCGUUAUAAGGCAUCGCCCUCUUUGCCCACCCCCCAGCACCAGGUGUGGCCACUAGCCUAUAUGAAGGCCCAAAAUUGUGUGUUCCUUUCUGCUCUGACAAUGGCAUGCCCAUUCGUGCGAGAUGUGGUGGAUGAAGAAGCACUUGUGCUGAGGAGAGCCUUCAGGCGAGAAAGGGUCUUCAGGGACCGGUUGGACCCACUGGCCUUCCCUGAUGACCAUCUAUAUGAAAGAUACAGGUUUUCUGCAGAUGGCAUCAGGUAUCUAUGCAGACUACUGGGUCCCAGGAUUAAGCACCGCACUGCACGGAGCCAUGCACUGAGUGUGGAGCAAAUGGUUUGUGUGGCCUUGCGCUUUUUGCUAGUGGAGCCUUCCUGUACUCAGUGGGGGAUGCUGAACAAGGCCACAAUUUGCCGCACAAUAAGGAGUGUGUGUCUGGCUAUCAAAGCAUUAGCAGAUGUCUUCAUCUCUUCCCUGGCCACAGAAGACUCUGUGACAUCAAAGAGGAGUUCUAUAGGAUUGCAGAUGGUCUGCAAUGCUGACUGUGUGAUCAGCAAUGUUGUGGCAAAAUGGCCUGGCUCAGUCCAUGACUCCAGAAUCUUUCGGGCCUCUGAAAUCUAUCAGUG